rnacentral:rRNA from 1 species
ACAUAUGACCAUAGACUGGGCAUUGGGCAUUGGGCAUCCCGUCCGCUCUGCCAUACAUAAACCUGAGAUCGGUGGAUCAGUAGUUGGGUGGGUGACCACCAGCGAAUACUCACUGUUGUAUGUU